AGUUAAAUGCGGGGCACGUGCCACGCAAGAUUGCGGAUCUUGUAAUACAGGUUCGAUUCCUGUCGGGAGCACCA
rnacentral:tRNA from 1 species